AGCAAUGCCACACAUUGGCAAGCUCAUAGAACAUUAUGAUGACUUUGUUGCUAUGCUGAAUAGCGGAACAUCCUGUGGGGGGACGAGAAGCACC